rnacentral:rRNA from 1 species
GUUGUUAGGCAAUCUUUUAUACCUAUGGAUGCUGAUGCAAUUCUUAAUAUACCCUUGAGAACGGGAGGUGGAGAAGAUCUUAUGGCUUGGGCACCUGAGAGGUCGGGGAUGUACACUGUAAAGUCAGGUUAUCGCUCUCUUAUGAUUCAGAACGAGCAAAAAGCUCUGGAAGAAGGGACGAUGACGGAUACUUCAGAGACUGAUAAACAGUUGUGGUCUCGGCUAUGGAAACUCAAGGUUUUGCCCAAAGUUCGUGUCUUC